CAGUUAAACUAGCUGCGUUAGUUACCCAGAUGAGAGCAUGAAGAUCCAUCUGUGUCAAGUGGCUUUAGUGUUGCUUGGUUGUUUCUUUAUUUUGGGCUUGUUUUGUUUAGUUGUUUUUGCUAGAAUAAUGGCAUCUACUUUUCCUGUUCUUCCCUAACCAUUUUAAAGAGUGAAAAUGGGAAGAGCUUUAAAGACGUUCACUGACUAUUACUUUCCUUCACUCAUCUACUUAAGUAACUGUUGGAUCUUACUAAGAAAACUGAUGCCUCAUAAUAAAAAAGAACUUAGAGGCCGAUAGGUUUUAAAAAUAUACAAACUAUUUGAUCCAGUGAUUUUAAUCAAACAGUUUGACUGGGCAAACUUUGCAGCUGAUAAUGACGAUUUCGCUUUUUACAAAUUGCCACUGAUUUGGAUUUAAUUUCUUUAAUUAACUCUAACCUUUAAUUUAUUGAUGCUCUAUUGUGCAGUAGAUUUCAUUUAAGAAAAGGCUCAUAUAGUACUAUCCAAAACUAGUUGGUGAUGUGAUUAUGUGGUACCUUGGCUUUAGGUUUUAAUUGGAAUGAGACACCCUUUGGCAUGCUUAACUUUCUGGUAUUUCCCUCUCCUGCACUGGUUUUUGUUUUUUGGGUUUUUGCUGUUGUUUGCUUUUUGUUUGUUUUUAGAUCCACAGAACAUGAGAAUCCUUGUGAGGAGCCUUGGAAAGCUGGCUCUUCUUUCCUCUCUCUGUGAAGGAUGUGUUUAAAUGAACGCUGAAAACACCACUUGAGAGACAACUUGGGGGACCGCCUUUCAUUAUGUGUGCUAGAGGAGAAACAGCAAUACAUCUGUGCUUCUAAAUGUUCGUUAAGAAUAUGCUGUUUAGAAAUAUUUCUGUUAUGAUUUUAAUUGAAGUUUUCCUUUUGUUGUUUCAUAGUUAUAUGUUCUUG
ensembl:lncRNA